GACGAACGCUGGCGGCGUGCUUAACACAUGCAAGUCGAACGAUGAACUUGGAGCUUGCUCUGGGGGAUUAGUGGCGAACGGGUGAGUAACACGUGAGUAACCUGCCCUGGACUCUGGGAUAACUUCGAGAAAUCGGAGCUAAUACCGGAUAGGACCUUGCACCGCAUGGUGUGAGGUGGAAAGUUUUUCGGUUUGGGAUGGACUCGCGGCCUAUCAGCUUGUUGGUGAGGUAAUGGCUCACCAAGGCGUCGACGGGUAGCCGGCCUGAGAGGGUGACCGGCCACACUGGGACUGAGACACGGCCCAGACUCCUACGGGAGGCAGCAGUGGGGAAUAUUGCACAAUGGGCGCAAGCCUGAUGCAGCAACGCCGCGUGUGGGAUGACGGCCUUCGGGUUGUAAACCGCUUUUAGUAGGGAAGAAGCCUUCGGGUGACGGUACCUGCAGAAAAAGGACCGGCUAACUACGUGCCAGCAGCCGCAGUAACAC
rnacentral:rRNA from 1 species